rnacentral:rRNA from 1 species
CGGCGUGCUUAACACAUGCAAGUCGAACGAGGAUAUGAGCGGAAGGCUCGGCCGGAAGGUGAUAAUCGAGUGGCGGACGGGUGAGUAACGCGUGAACAAUCUGUCCCAGACAGGGGGAUAACACUUGGAAACAGGUGCUAAUACCGCAUAAGACCACAGAAUCGCAUGGUACAGGGGUAAAAGGAGCAAUCCGGUUUGGGGUGAGUUCGCGUCCGAUUAGCCAGUUGGGGGGUAACGGCCCACCAAAGCGACGAUCGGUAGCCGACCUGAGAGGGUGAUCGGCCACAUUGGAACUGAGAGACGGUCCAAACUCCUACGGGAGGCAGCAGUGGGGAAUAUUGGGCAAUGGGCGAAAGCCCUGACCCAGCAACGCCGCGUGAGGGAAGAAGGGUUUCGGCUCGUAAACCUCUGUCCUAUGGGACGAAGGAAGUGACGGUACCAUAGGAGGAAGCCCCGGCUAACUACGUGCCAGCCGCAGC